GCGCGUUCAAACGGCCCUCCAGGCCGAAAGGGGGCGCCCCACGCGUAGGCUUCGGGCCUCUUAGGGCCGGGCCCAGGCCUGGGCCUGGCGGGGCCGCUCUGGGCCGGGCUAUGAGGGGCGCCCCCGAGUGGGGCCUGCGGCGGUGCUCCGGGGCUGAGCCCGAGGGGGCCGUGGGGAGGACCUGAGGGCGGCUGGGGGGGAGGGAACGAGAACGGGGUGGGGCGAAGGGGAGGAGGGAUGAGCAGGUGCGGACAGCGGGCCUGUUGGAGCAGGAAGGGGCGGGGGCGGCCGCGGCCCGGGGCGGGCAUGGAGGAGCGCGGAACGGUCUGAGCCGUGUGGGGCCGGUCCAUCAGCAUGCUCCAGGUACCACUGCCCCUGGAUCGUGAUGGGAUCCUAUUCCGGCUCCGUUUCACCACUCUGGCUGUUGGGACUGUGUUUUGCCCCUUGUUUGGUUUCCUUUUCUGCGUGAUUUGGUCUCUGCUCUUCCACUUCCAGGAGACAACAGCCACCCACUGCGG
rnacentral:lncRNA from 1 species